rnacentral:rRNA from 1 species
CCUACGGGUGGCAGCAGUGAGGAAUAUUGGUCAAUGGCCGCAAGCCUGAACCAGCCAAGUCGCGUGAAGGAAGACGGCCCUAUGGGUUGUAAACUUCUUUUAUAAGGGAAUAAAGUUAUCCACGUGUGGCUAUUUGCAUGUACCCUAUGAAUAAGGAUCGGCUAACUCCGUGCCAGCAGCCGCGGUAAUACGGAGGAUGCGAGCGUUAUCCGGAUUUAUUGGGGUUAAAGGGUGCGUAGGUGGGUUUUUAAGUGAGCGGUGAAAGUUUGUGGCUCAACCAUCAAAUUGCCGUUGAAACUGGCAGUCUUGAGUGUGUUUGAGGUAGGCGGAAUGCGUGGUGUAGCGGUGAAAUGCAUAGAUAUCACGCAGAACUCCGAUUGCGAAGGCAGCUUACUAAGCCACAACUGACACUGAAGCACGAAAGCGUGGGUAUCAAACAGGAUUAGAUACCCGUGUAGUC